rnacentral:misc_RNA from 1 species
GAUGAAGAACGCAGCGAAAUGCGAUAAGUAAUGUGAAUUGCAGAAUUCAGUGAAUCAUCGAAUCUUUGAACGCACAUUGCGCCCCCUGGUAUUCCGGGGGGCACACCUGUCCGAGCGUCAUUGCUGCCCUCAAGCACGGCUUGUGUGUUGGGCCUCCGUCCUCCUCCCGGGGGACGGGCCCGAAAGGCAGCGGCGGCACCGCGUCCGGUCCUCGAGCGUAUGGGGCUUCGUCACCCGCUCUUGUAGGCCCGGCCGGCGCUUGCCGACACAUCAAUCUUUUUUCCAGGUUGACCUCGGAUCAGGUAGGGAUACCCGCUGAACUUAAGCAUAUCAAUAAGCGGAGGA